AUAAUUUUUUACUCAUUAGAGUUUUUAAGGCUUGAUAUUAUCGAAGCCCUUGAUGAUUUUUCUAAGAGUAGCCCUAUUAACCGAUUUAUGCAAAUAUUUGAAUGCCUGUUUUAUUAAGGAAUUCGAACGUCUCUGAACCGCGUUGAUUUGGCUAUAGCCUUUUUAUUUAGGACGUGCCUCUGAGGCUUAUUUUCCCGUUUCACUUCGAGCUUGCCCAAACUGUCAGUCCCAAAAUGGGGUGUCCGUGGCCUAUCAAAAAACUGAGGGUCACCUAUAAGGUCUUAUGAUCUUGAAGUUUUAAUAAUUCGAUCUUGUUUGUUUUUCGGACAUCAGUUCCCGAGCGUGGAGUCCCGUUAUGAUCGGCCCUUAAGUCUGUUUACAUAAUAGAUCAAGAGUAUGAAAUUGUAAAGUAGAAAAAUUUUUCUAAGCAUACGAAAUCAGCAAUGGAAAAUACUUCUUUCAAUAGAUGAUUAUUCAUACGUACAUUUUUUAUGAUAGGGUUUGAGUAACCUAUAUGGGCACGGUUCAUUCCACCAUUUGGCCCUUACAAAAUUUACCUAUUGAGACCCUACUGUUACAAAGUAAAUUCCUUGCAACCAAAUUGACAUUCGAGGGUAAUGCCCCCCCCCCCAGUAUUUGAGGUUGAUUGUAAAGAAGCCUUGGGUACUGUUGAAUUGUUCUAAGUUAGCACGAUCAAUGGUUUCCUCGUCAAAAACCUCGCCGGGAAAACCCAUUUUGGACAAAAACUGGUCUAAGGAAAAAAGAGUGCAACAUGUGCUUUCAGACCUAAAGACUUAGAAUUGAAGAAUCCAUCAUCAUCCUUGAUCGAUUCACCUAUAAUUGGUUAGAUUAAAAUAUAAAUGAAAAUGGAGACUGCCGUAUCUUAGCAGUAGUAUCGCUUUAGAAGUAACAUGUUCCAUUUGUUUUUUAAUUGUUCGCCAUUCAUCGUGCUUAGCUUGUAGGAUCCCUUUUCGAUGAUGUCGAGUACCUCAUAUGUACCUCCCAAUUUGGAGCAAGUUUUCCUUCAUUCGAGUUUUGGCUGUUGAGGGUGACUUUUCUUAGAUCCAAGUCCCCUAUUUUAAAGUGUCGAACAUUGGUUCUUUGGUUGUAGUAUUUUUCGAUCAACUAUUUUUAUGCGGCCAAUAGAACUAUGUAGCUAAUCAAAUAGUCAUCAAUGCAUGGCAAUGGAUACCUUUUCUUCACUGUAACCUUGUUCAACUGUUGAUAAUCAAUACAUAUGCGCAUAAAACCAUCUUUCUUAUUUAUGAACAAAACAGGAGUACCCCAAGGUGAUACACUGGGCCGAAUGAAGCCUUUAUAAAUCAACUCUUGCAACUGCUCUUUUAACUCCUUCAACUCCGCUGGGGCUAUAUGAUAUGGGGGAAUAAAAAUGGGUCGAGUCCCUGUCAUCAAGUUAAACCAAAAUCAAUAUCCCUAUUGGGUGGAAUGGCCGAAAGAUCCAUCAAAAAUAAUUUGAAUAGUCUAUCUAUCUAAUUUGACUCAAUGGUUUGAGUAUCAACACUGAUAUCCCUCACAAAGGAUAGAUAUGCAUUACAUCCCUUCCUAACCAUCCAUUGUGCCUUAAGGAAAGACACCACCCUGCUAGUAACAUAAUCCAAAGUACCCCUCCACUCCAACUGCAACAAACCUGGCAUAGCUAAUGUCAUCGUCUAAGCAUGACAAUCAAGAAUAACAUAAUAGAGACAAUCAGUCCAUGCCCAAAAUAACAUCAAAAUCUACCACUGAGCAAAAAUAGGCUAACUUUGGUCUCUAAACCACCAAGAACAACUAAACUCGACCAAUACACACUGUCAACAAUAUUGGAAUUCUCCCACUAGCAUGAACACACACAUAGGCGAACUCAAGGAAUCAUGGGAUAUACCCAAAUAUGGAGCAAAGUAAUAUGAUACAUAGGAAUAAGUGGAGCCUGUAUCAAAUAAGACCGAUGCAUCUCUAUGACAAAUCGGAACAAUACCUAUGAUAACUAAGUAGGAUGCAGCCGUAUUUGUCCUACUCGGUAGAGCAUAACAUCUGGCCUGGCAUGGCCUCCCCCUCUAGGGAGACCCCUACCCGCCUGGCCUCCACCUCUGGUUGGCUAUGUAGGUGGAGUGGAAACUAGUUCGGUACCCUGUAAAAUAUGUGGAGCUUGAGUGGUCUAUGGAGGAGCACCCCUCAUGACUCUGGGAAAGUCCCUCACCAUAUGCCGAGUGUCACUGCACUAAAAACAAGCUCUCGGAGGAUGUAGCUGCUGAAAUUAGCUCGGGCCUGGUCGGUUAGACUGACUAGUGAAAGCACCCCGUGCAAGAGGUGCACUAGACAAUGGCAGUACAUAAUGGGCAACUUGAUACCUAGGAGUAGCUCGAAUACCACUGGAAGCUGGAAGUGCUGAAUGAACGGGACGACUCACAUAGCCUUUACCAUGACGGGCUGUAACUGGUUGGGGUGGGCGUCGUCGGUUAGAUCAGUUAUUAUGAAAGUACGAUUCAAUUUAUCGAUUUUUAGUUUUUUAAUAUCAAUAACCAAAUCAAACCAAAGUAUUUACGUUUCAGUGUGAUUUUUUCAAAGUUUGAUUUGGUUAUUUCCGAUUUAAUUUUUCGGUUAUUAACAGAAUUUUAAAGAGUCGAUUUUCAAAUUUCUUGACUCAAAUUGAUUAUAGGACCAACUAGUAUGAAGGCGGAACCCUGUUUUUACUACCCAAAGAUUUAAUUGGAUGUGGCUCAAGCUCUAAGAAAGUAUUAACAAUGAUCCCUUUUGCUUAUCGUAUCAUUCGAGCAGUAGACAGUGGUAGAUGCGAACGACAAUCUUUAUCCAGCAUGGUACUUGGCAAAACCAAAGCUGGAAGAGGAUUUAAGUAAGUCGAAACUGGUAGUAACGUGUUCGAAUCCUUAAAAUCCGAGAUGUAACGAUCGUGAUCAUCUUUAAGCGUCUGUGCAUAAAACAUGAGGCGAAGAAAAGCAGCACUAGAACUGAAGAAUACGUAACUCGACAACCAAGUUCAGUUGCUACUUCUAUCAUUUUGUCACUAAACAUGUCAACAAUCACACCACCAAGUCGGGUACCGGACUGACUAUUAUUAGUCGUUAAAAUGUCUACAAUUGCAUCUCUUACUAGUUGCUUGGAAUUAUUAAAGAGCUCAAUGAGAACAACUUCCAGAGGUUUAAUACAAUUGCAUCCCAAUAUUUGAUUUUUCCGUUUAACCGAAAAUCGAAAUACAAAAAUUGUAAGCCGUAUCGAAUAUCAAAAUUAAUAAUUUAAAAAUCACACACCGACCGAAUAACCCAUUACACCAAAAUAGAAAACCCGAAAUUACUUGGCCGAUUCUUUCGGUUCGGCGAGUAUUAUUCCCACCCCUAAUGGCUGGGGAACGGGUAACACUACAUGUGCUAGAAUAUCGAGGCCUCUCGGUCUUCCUAUCCUCUCUCUCUUGUACCUCCAUACCCUCCAUCUCUGAGCGAUCUCCACCACCUGCUGGUAUGGGGUGUCAAUCUCCAAUUCUCGAGGUAGCUGAAUCUAAUAACAUGGUUGAUCCCGUCGAUAAAUCGACGGACUCACUCUAUGAUUGUGGAGAGUAAGGCUUGUGCAUGUCUGGAAAUUGCUGAACCUGACAACAUAAUCUGAUACGAUCAUAGCACCCUAACGCAAUUUCUCAAACUCUGCAUGACAUGCAUCUCGAAGGCUCUAGGGUACAAACUCUCUUAAGAACAUCUCUGAAAAUUGAGCCCAAGUGAAAAAAGUUGCCUCAGCCGAUCUAAUCAACUUGUACGCUCACCACAACUAAUAAGUCGCUCCCUUAAGCUAGAACAUAGUGAAAGCAACCCCACUCGACUCCACAAUACCCAUAGUACGAAGGAUAUGGUGGCACUCCUCAAGAAAACCAUGUGCGUCCUCUGUAGCUAGGCCGUUGAAUGUAGGAGGAUGGUACUUCUUGUACCUCUCGAGCCUAUGUUUCCCAUCCUCAUAUGCUGCUUCCCGAACAUGGGACUAAGCUGGGAUAACCGGUUGCACUGGUAUGACCUUUAGGACCUGGUCAACCUAGACUCGCUGCCAUAGGGUACGGGAUGAGGGAGCCUGUGCUCCUCCUCAGCCUGGUAUCCGACCGGUGCAAUUGGGAUGAACCCUGCCUGAGCUAGAGUACCAAACUUUCUCAAGUAUUGGGUGAGGAUCUCCUGAAUUAUGGGGGUAGUAAUAAGCAAAUAAUGCACCAUGAAAGAAAAUAGG
rnacentral:lncRNA from 1 species